rnacentral:lncRNA from 1 species
ACUCUGAAUAGCAGGAACAAGUACGUGUCAAAAGGCACUUCUUCCUGGAAGCUAUUUGCACAGAAGCCUGAGCCCCAAGAACUGCGUUGUGCUGCUCAGAGUACUUUAUUUUGAGGCCUCGCUGGUCACCAGCUCUGUCAUUAACCUUGAGAGAACAUAUACAUGCAGGUGAUCUCGGACUUCAUGCAGCAAACCAAGGAAGCCUGCCCCAAAGCCAUCCUCGGGCUGAGGGUCGACGAUUCUCCCCAAAGAGGGUGGGUGACUCGAACUGGGCCUGGGUGAAGGAGGAGAGUGCUCAGACACAGCAGGU